GUAGUUAGCCGGGGCUUCCUCCUUGGCUACCGUCACUUUCUUCGUCACCAAGGACAGAGGUUUACAAUCCGAAGACCUUCUUCCCUCACGCGGCGUUGCUGGGUCAGGCUUUCGCCCAUUGCCCAAUAUUCCCCACUGCUGCCUCCCGUAGGAGUCUGGACCGUGUCUCAGUUCCAGUGUGGCCGAUCAGCCUCUCAGCUCGGCUACCCAUCGUUGGCUAGGUGGGCCGUUACCCCGCAACUAUCUAAUGGGACGCGAACCCCUCCUGAAGCGGAUUGCUCCUUUGACCUCAUCCCGAUGUCGGGUCGUGGUCUUAUGCGGUAUUAGCAACCGUUUCCGAUUGUUAUCCCCCUCUUCAGGGCAGGUUGUUCACGCGUUACUCACCCGUUCGCCACUAAAGUAUCAACCGAAAUCAAUACUUCCGUUCGACUUGCAUGUGUUAGGCACGCCGCCAGCGUUCGUCCUGAGCCAGAAUCGAACCCUGA
rnacentral:rRNA from 1 species